AGAGUUUGAUCCUGGCUCAGGAUGAACGCUGGCGGCGUGCCUAACACAUGCAAGUCGUACGAGCUCGAUCUUCGGAACGGGUUAGUGGCGCACGGGUGAGUAACACGUAGGUGACCUACCCCAGAGUGGGGGAUAACUUCUCGAAAGAGAGGCUAAUACCGCAUACACUCGGUCAUUCAUUUGGCUGAGCAAAGCUCCGGCGCUUUGGGACGGGCCUGCGUCCGAUUAGCUAGUUGGUAGGGUAAUGGCUUACCAAGGCUUUGAUCGGUAGCUGGUCUGAGAGGACGAUCAGCCACACUGGCACUGACACACGGGCCAGACUCCUACGGGAGGCAGCAGUGAGGAAUAUUGGCAAUGGGCGAAAGCCUGACCCAGCAACGCCGCGUGAGGGAUGAGGGCCUUCGGGUUGUAAACCUCUUUCUGGGAGAAGAGACAAGGACGGUAUCCCAGGAAUAAGUCUCGGCUAACUACGUG
rnacentral:rRNA from 1 species